UGAAAGGCUUUUGCUCUUAUGAAGUUAGCGGCGGACGGGUGAGUAACACGUGGGUAACCUGCCCAUAAGACUGGGAUAACUCCGGGAAACCGGGGCUAAUACCGGAUAACAUUUUGAACCGCAUGGUCGAAAUUGAAAGGCGGCUUCGGCUGUCACUUAUGGAUGGACCCGCGUCGCAUUAGCUAGUUGGUGAGGUAACGGCUCACCAAGGCAACGAUGCGUAGCCGACCUGAGAGGGUGAUCGGCCACACUGGACUGAGACACGGCCCAGACUCCUACGGGAGGCAGCAGUAGGGAAUCUUCCGCAAUGGACGAAAGUCUGACGGAGCAACGCCGCGUGAGUGAUGAAGGCUUUCGGGUCGUAAAACUCUGUUGUUAGGGAGAACAAGUGCUAGUUGAAUAAGCUGGCACCUUGACGGUACCUAACCAGAAAGCCACGGCUAACUACGUGCCAGCAGCCGCGGUAAUACGUAGGUGGCAAGCGUUAUCCGGAAUUAUUGGGCGUAAACGCGCGCAGGUGGUUUCUUAAGUCUGAUGUGAAAGCCCACGGCUCAACCCGUGGAGGGUCAUUGGGAAACUGGGAGACUUGAGUGCAGAAGAGGAAAGUGGAAUUUCCAUGUGUAGCGGUGAAAUGCUAGAGAUAUGGAGGAACACCAGUGGCGAAGGCGACUUUCUGGUCUUGUAACUGACACUGAGCCGAAAGGCGUGGGGAGCAAACAGAUUAGAAUACCUGUAGUCCACCGCCCGUAACGAUGGUGCUAAGUUAGAAGGGUUUCCGCCUUUAUGCUGGAGUACGCAUAGCACUCCGCUGGGAGUACGCGCAAGCUGAAACUCAAGGAUUGACCGGGUCCGCACACACCGGGUGGAACCAU
rnacentral:rRNA from 1 species